UGGGAAUCUAUUUCCAGA
rnacentral:piRNA from 1 species